rnacentral:rRNA from 1 species
CAGUAGCCGCGGGAAUACGAAGGGGGCUAGCGUUGUUCGGAUUUACUGGGCGUAAAGGGCGCGUAGGCGGACUGAUAAGUCAGGGGUGAAAUCCCAAGGCUCAACCUUGGAACUGCCUUUGAUACUGUUUGUCUUGAGUUCGAGAGAGGUAAGUGGAACUGCGAGUGUAGCGGUGAAAUGCGUAGAUAUAUGGAGGAACACCGGUGGCGAAAGCGGCUCUCUGGUCUGUCACUGACGCUGAGGCUCGAAAGCGUGGGUAGCGAACAGGAUUAGAUACCCCCGUAGUCCCUGUCUCUUAUAC